rnacentral:antisense_RNA from 3 species
AUACAAUAGUUAUAAAACACACCGAAUAUGUUUUUUCUUUUGGAUAAGUCGCAUUCACAAACUUUGGUCGGGGAGUGGGCGACUUCUUUUUUAUUUUGUU